rfam:Stegodyphus mimosarum contig8717, whole genome shotgun sequence.
GACUUCGUGGCGCAGUGGUCAGCCCACUCGACACGUAACCGAGAGGUCCGUGGUUCGAUUCCCGGUGAAGGCG